CAGUCGCCGCGGUAAUACGAAGGGGGCUAGCGUUGUUCGGAAUUACUGGGCGUAAAGGGCGCGUAGGCGGCCAUUCAAGUAGAUGUGAAAGCCCUGGGCUCAACCUAGGAAUUGCAUUUGAUACUGUUUGGCUUGAGUUCGGGAGAGGUGAGUGGAAUUCCCAGUGUAGAGGUGAAAUUCGUAGAUAUUGGGAAGAACACCAGUGGCGAAGGCGGCUCACUGGACCGACACUGACGCUGAGGCGCGAAAGCGUGGGAGCAAACAGGAUUAGAUACCCCUGUAGUCCCUGUCUCUUAUACAC
rnacentral:rRNA from 1 species